ensembl:lncRNA
GAGAAAUGGAACGCAAGAACUGGGGAAAAAAUAAGCUGGGAGGUCAGACCUGGGCUGGAGUGCCUACGUGUAGCCAUAGGAGUAUAUUUAACGGAGUGAUAACUCAGACUUUGAAAGAAAAAAAGGGACCAACGCACUGAUCGGCUGUUCCCUAUGACUGCAGUGUGUCAGCACUCAAGCUGGGAAAGUUUGAGGGCACGUGUUUCCUAUCCCUCUGCCUAUGGACCUAAGAGCAGAGACUGAUAGGGAUCGAUAUUCAGAAAGGAGCGCAGUUUGGCAGAGGAUGCCAAAGGAGCCUGCUGAGCGUGGCCACAGAUGAUCCCAGCUGAGCGUGGCCACUCACAAACUGAAGAGAACCUCUGUGCUGUGUCAUCAAUUGGAGCUGCAAUAAAUGAUCCUAUAUCAAGCACUGUGCUUUUCAUUCCUCAAAAUGAC